AUUGAACGCUGGCGGCAUGCCUUACACAUGCAAGUCGAACGGCAGCACGGGAGCAAUCCUGGUGGCGAGUGGCGAACGGGUGAGUAAUAUAUCGGAACGUGCCCAGUCGUGGGGGAUAACGUAGCGAAAGCUACGCUAAUACCGCAUACGAUCUAUGGAUGAAAGCGGGGGAUCGCAAGACCUCGCGCGAUUGGAGCGGCCGAUAUCAGAUUAGGUAGUUGGUGAGGUAAAGGCUCACCAAGCCGACGAUCUGUAGCUGGUCUGAGAGGACGACCAGCCACACUGGGACUGAGACACGGCCCAGACUCCUACGGGAGGCAGCAGUGGGGGAAUUUUUGGGACAAUGGGCGCAAGCCUGAUCCAGCAAUGCCGCGUGCAGGAUG
rnacentral:rRNA from 1 species